UCCCUGGAGGUCCAGUGGUUAGAACUUGGCACUUUUACUGCCAAGGGCAUGGUUUAAUCCCUGGUCGGGGAA
rnacentral:tRNA from 1 species